GACGAACGCUGGCGGCGUGCUUAACACAUGCAAGUCGAACGGUAAGGCCCUUUCGGGGGUCCACGAGUGGCGAACGGGUGAGUAACACGUGGGUGAUCUGCCCUGCACUUUGGGAUAAGCCUGGGAAACUGGGUCUAAUACCGGAUAGGACUACGCGAUGCAUGUCGUGUGGUGGAAAGCUUUUGCGGUGUGGGAUGGGCCCGCGGCCUAUCAGCUUGUUGGUGGGGUGAUGGCCCACCAAGGCGACGACGGGUAGCCGGCCUGAGAGGGUGUCCGGCCACACUGGGACUGAGAUACGGCCCAGACUCCUACGGGAGGCAGCAGUGGGGAAUAUUGCACAAUGGGCGCAAGCCUGAUGCAGCGACGCCGCGUGGGGGAUGACGGCCUUCGGGUUGUAAACCCCUUUCAGCACAGACGAAGCGUAAGUGACGGUAUGUGCAGAAGAAGCACCGGCCAACUACGUG
rnacentral:rRNA from 1 species